rnacentral:rRNA from 1 species
UGCCAGCAGCCGCGGUAAGACGGAGGGUGCGAGCGUUGUUCGGAAUUACUGGGCGUAAAGCGCGUGUAGGCGGCCUUUUAAGUCUGGUGUGAAAGCCCGGGGCUCAACCCCGGAAGUGCAUCGGAUACUGGAAGGCUAGAGUACCGGAGAGGAGGGUGGAAUUCCUGGUGUAGCGGUGAAAUGCGUAGAUAUCAGGAGGAACACCCGUGGCGAAGGCGGCCCUCUGGACGGAUACUGACGCUGAGACGCGAAAGCGUGGGGAGCAAACAGGAUUAGAUA